rnacentral:rRNA from 1 species
UGGGGAAUAUUGGACAAUGGGGGCAACCCUGAUCCAGCAAUGCCGCGUGUGUGAAGAAGGUCUUCGGAUUGUAAAGCACUUUCGACGGGGACGAUGAUGACGGUACCCGUAGAAGAAGCCCCGGCUAACUUCGUGCCAGCAGCCGCGGUAAUACGAAGGGGGCUAGCGUUGCUCGGAAUGACUGGGCGUAAAGGGCGUGUAGGCGGUUUACACAGUCAGAUGUGAAAUCCCCGGGCUUAACCUGGGAGCUGCAUUUGAUACGUGUAGACUAGAGUGUGAGAGAGGGUUUGUGGAAUUCCCAGUGUAGAG